AAGUCGUAACAAGGUUUCCGUAGGUGAACCUGCGGAAGGAUCAUUACAUGAUAUCACAGGGAGUUGGUACCACGAAAGUGCGCCAACUCUGUCUGCAUAUUAUACCCAUGAUUUUGCGUACCAUUUGUUUCCUUGGUGGGCUUGCCCACCAAUAGGACACCAAACAACCCUUUGUAAUUGCAGUCAGCGUCAGAAAAAUAUAAUAAUUACAACUUUUAACAACGGAUCUCUUGGUUCUG
rnacentral:misc_RNA from 1 species